AAAAAGCCAAACCCUAGGUUUUCGUGUCCAACUUUGAAAUUUUUUUAUAAUUUGUAUUUUCAUUGUUGUUAGAUGAUAAAACAUGAAUAAUAUUUUAUGCGUGACUUGUCUUUUUAAUUUUUUUAUAAUUUUUUCAAAUAAAACGGAUGGUCAACGUUGGACACGGAAACCAGGGUUUGUCUUUUU
rfam:Oryza barthii chromosome 2, whole genome shotgun sequence.